CCUCCCUCCUCAUCUUUUUGUCAAGAAUAAAUGUAGAAGACUGCAGCACCCAUGACCAUGCAACUGCAAUGGAUUUAUCAUCUUAAAUCAAGGAAACUAGAAUGGACAAAUAAACAAACAAAAUCCUUGAAAUUUAAGGUAAAAUAAUUG